UAAGGAAUAUUGGUCAAUGGACGCAAGUCUGAACCAGCCAUGCCGCGUGGAGGAUGAAGGUCCUCUGGAUUGUAAACUUCUUUUAUCUGGGACGAAACACUUCUUUCCUAAGAGGCCUGACGGUACCAGAUGAAUAAGCACCGGCUAACUCCGUGCCAGCAGCCGCGGUAAUACGGAGGGUGCAAGCGUUAUCCGGAUUCACUGGGUUUAAAGGGUGCGUAGGUGUGUAUGUAAGUCAGUGGUGAAAUCCCCGAGCUUAACUUGGGAGCUGCCAUUGAUACUAUAUAUCUUGAAUACCGUAGAGGUAAGCGGAAUAUGUCAUGUAGCGGUGAAAUGCUUAGAUAUGACAUGGAACACCAAUUGCGAAGGCAGCUUACUAUGCGGUGAUUGACACUGAGGCACGAAAGCGUGGGUAGCAAACA
rnacentral:rRNA from 1 species